CUAAAACAAACUCUUCUUCCAUCACUUCUUGAGGGUCUACACCAUUUAAUCUAUUCACUAAACUUUAUUUUCUUAUAGCAUCCAAAAACUCAUUUCCUUUUAAAUCUAGAAUCUCAUCAUUUCACUGCUACCUUUAUUUAUUCUUAACUCCCACUCCACUCUAUUAAAAUAUUCAUCCAAACUUUCAUAUCCUUCACUCCGUUUCUUGUAAAACACCUCACUCUUCAUAAACCCAAAAAUUCUUGAUUACACCAAUUUAUUUUUGCUUUUAUGGUAACUACUGCACGCAUGAAUUCAUGCAUGAAAUUUCUUUCAGAAACCUGAGAAUAACCAUUUCAUACUCAAAUGAGACCCAACGUCAUUUUACUUCAUUGCUCCACCUUGAUUUCAUUUUCCUUAUACCUUCCACGACCCCAUUCUCACUUACACCGUGACCUACCCAUGCUAUAUCCCCAAUCUCACUUCCAUUGUUCACGUAACUUAGGGAUGUAACCCCUGCAACGCUUACCUUCCUCCACACUUUUCCAGAACAAAAUCAUUCUUCUCCUCCACCUUAAGCACGAAGGCACAACCCAAAGAAAACCCCAAACAUCAAAGAUC
rnacentral:lncRNA from 1 species